AUAUUUCCCAUGUUACAAAAACUGCAUUCUUCCAUCUUAGACACACUGGCAAGCUACGAAACAUGUUAUCUGUUUCUGAUGCAGAAAAGCUAGUUCAUGCAUGAUGACCUCUAGACUGGACUAUUGUAAUGCACUUCUAGGUGGUUGUCCUGCAUCUUCAAUAAACAAGCUACAGGUAGUCCAACAGCAGCAGCUAGAGUCCUUACCAGGUCAAGAAAAUAUUGUACAGUCUCUGCACUGGCUACUUCAAGUUCUGUAUCAGUUACAAAUUAUUAUUACUUACCUAUAAGGCCCUAAAUGGUUUAGCUCCUGUGUACCUAACUAGUCUAAUACCACGUUACAAUCCAUCACGCACCCUAAGGUCACAAAAUGCUGGACUUUUGGUAGUACCUAGGAUAGCAAAGUCCACUAAAGGAGGUAGAGCUUUCUCACAUUUGGCUCCCAAACUCUGGAAAAGCCUUCCUGUUCGGGGUUCAGACACACUCUCUCUGUUUAAAUCUAGAUUAAAACAUCUCUUUGGCUAAGCAUUCGAAUAAUGCAUCUCUUAAAUUGUGAGUGUAGUUGCAUCUGAUCAAAGGUGCUUUCUUAUUCUUUAGCUUGGGUUAAACUAAUAACUUUUACUUUGUUGGAACAGCAGCUACGCUAAUGAUGUCUCUAUUUGUUUCUAUGUUUUGCUGAGAAGAGAUGAUGCCAACCCCUCAGAGGAUCUCAGAUGAUGUUAACCCUGAAUCAACAAAGAGAACUAACAAAUAUUGCUACAAGUGUGACUGCAUCAUAUACUAAUUGAUGUUAAUAGUGUUCAUCGUCUGGUUGACUACGUCUUGUACUAAUUUUUCGGAAAAAUCCUGUCAUAUGCACAUAAACUGACAUUCACCACUUAUAAGCUACUACUAAAUAUUGUAGAAACUUAAUAUUCUGUAAAGUUGCCUUUGUAAUGAUUUGUAUUGUAAAAAGCGCUAUACAAAUAAACUUGAAUUUAAUUUAAUUGAACUGAUGUUUCGGUGUUUCUUGUAGAUCAGACAAACAGAUUUACUGACACUUAUGUUUCAUUUUGUCUAUUACAGAUCAGGGCUUACCUUUAUUUUACAUAGUGCUGAUUCCUUCUGCUGCUGGAUCUCUGUUGAUUGUUUCAGUCGUGAUCUGCUGCAUUUGCAGGAAAUGUAGAAAAACAGCCCAGACCCAAGAGGAAGACAGAACUGAUUCAGCAUUGUGUAAACCAGCAAAAGGAAAAACGAAAUCAAAGACUGACGCCGUGUAUGAAAAUGUCCCCAAAAAGCGGUGAUCAAAAAGACUGUAUCUACUGGAUUUGUGCUGUUAGAGCUCAUACUGGACAAUACCUCACCUUUUCAUUCACAUUCAUUAUCUUCUAGGAUGUCAUUGUUUUGUCUGUAUCAUAUCAUUUGGCGUUACUGUAAUUUCUAAAAUUUUAUUUGAAUUAAAUUAGUGAUUUACCAAAUAGCAGCAUAUCAUCCAAAAACUCAAGUAAAUGUUCUUUCUUUAUUUUAUCACAUGGGAAUUUACCUCAUUACAGCUUCUGUCAUUUACCUGCCAUUUACUGUUCCUGUAUCACGGUUUGUUCUGUUGUUAGCAAAAGUAGCACAAGCUCAUCAUCGCCCUGCUGGUGGCCAAAGCUAAAUUUCACAUCUCUAAUAACAGAACUACUUUUACCGACAUGGUGCGCUAUAGAUCCAUACUGAAUGCACAAAAUAAAGACACAGGUCUGCUUGAUCAUCCUGG